GACGAACGCUGGCGGCGUGCUUAACACAUGCAAGUCGAACGGAAAGGCCCCCUUGUGGGGUACUCGAGUGGCGAACGGGUGAGUAACACGUGAGUAACCUACCCUUGACUUUGGGAUAACUUCAGGAAACUGGGGCUAAUACCGGAUAGGAGCUCCUGCUGCAUGGUGGGGGUUGGAAAGUUUCGGCGGUUGGGGAUGGACUCGCGGCUUAUCAGCUUGUUGGUGGGGUAGUGGCUCACCAAGGCUUUGACGGGUAGCCGGCCUGAGAGGGUGACCGGCCACAUUGGGACUGAGAUACGGCCCAGACUCCUACGGGAGGCAGCAGUGGGGAAUAUUGCACAAUGGGCGGAAGCCUGAUGCAGCAACGCCGCGUGCGGGAUAACGGCCUUCGGGUUGUAAACCGCUUUCGCCUGUGACGAAGCGUGAGUGACGGUAAUGGGUAAAGAAGCACCGGCUAACUACGUG
rnacentral:rRNA from 1 species